rnacentral:rRNA from 1 species
GAUGAGCCUGCUCGCUAUCAGCUAGUUGGUAAGGUAAUGGCUUACCAAGGCUACGACGGCUAGGGGGUGUGAGAGCAUGGCCCCCCGCAAGGUAACUGAGACACGGUACCUACACCUACGGGUGGCAGCAACCGGGAAUAUUGCGCAAUGGACGAAAGUCUGACGCAGCGACACCGCGUGCGGGAUGAAGGCCUUCGGGUCGUAAACCGCUGUGAUAAAGGAGCAAAUUUUGAGUGUACUUUAUUAGAAAGCACCUGCUAACUACGUGCCAGAAGCCUCGGUAAUACGUAGGGUGCAAGCAUUGUCCGGAAUCAUUGGGCGUAAAGAGUAUCGUAGGCGGUUGAUUAAGUGGUGGUUUAAAGCCUGGAGCUCAACUCCAGAGAUGGUCACCAUACUGGUCGACUAGAGGUAAUUUGGGGAUGCUGGAAUUCUCAGUGGAGGUGUGAAAUCCGUUGAUAUUGAGAAGAACACCAAAGGCGAAGGCAGGCAUCUAGAAUUUACCAGACGCUGAUGAACGAAAGCUAGGGGAGCGAAAGGGAUUAGAG